UUAGAAGAAGAAGAAGAAAG
rnacentral:miRNA from 1 species